rnacentral:piRNA from 1 species
UAACCUAUAAAUAAUGUUAAGCCCACAAA